GAAGGAGGUAAACAGAAGAACAAGAUAAGUGCAUUCUCUAUCAGAGUAAAAGGAAUUUGACAGCUCAUUCAGAGUAAGAAGAUUCUCUUGCUGAGCAGGAAUAAUUCUCCUUUUGUCUUGGCCCCUGCACUGGUAAUUGGAGAGAGCGAGACAAGCAAAGAAGAAAAAAAAUUGGUUUCUUCAUCAGAGAAGAACAUUUGAAGGUUCCCUCCUCAGAAGGCCAGUGUAAAGCUGUUGUGUCACUUCAAUACCUCUUAGCCCUGCAAGGU